rnacentral:rRNA from 1 species
UACAGAGGUCUCAAGCGUUGUUCGGAUUCAUUGGGCGUAAAGGGUGCGUAGGUGGCGCGCUAAGUCAGGUGUGAAAUUUCGGAGCUUAACUCCGAAACUGCAUUUGAUACUGGUGUGCUUGAGGACUGGAGAGGAGACUGGAAUUUACGGUGUAGCAGUGAAAUGCGUAGAGAUCGUAAGGAAGACCAGUGGCGAAGGCGGGUCUCUGGACAGUUCCUGACACUGAGGCACGAAGGUCAGGGGAGCAAACGGG